GUUCUUAUGUUGUACUGUUACACCACUGUCCCAGGUUAAGGGGAGGGUUGGGAUCCCGCUAACAUGUUUAGCCUCGCCACAUUCUGUAUGUAUGUGCCUGUCCAAAGUCAGGAGUCUUUAAUUCAGUGGUUGUCGUUUGUUGCUGUGUUACAUAUUUGUUUUUGUUCAUUUUUUUAUACAUAAAUUAGGCCGUUAGUUUUCUCGUUUGAAUUGUUCUACAUUUGUCAUUUCAUGUCUUUUUAUAGCUAACUAUGAGGUAUGAGCUUUGCUCAUUGUUGAAGGUCGUACGGUGACCUAUAGUUGUUAAUUUCUGUGUCAAGUGGUCUCUUGUGAAGAGUUG
rnacentral:lncRNA from 1 species